CACCUUGUUAGCUGACACCAUGGCUUGUAUUGGUGAAUCUCCUUAGCAACCCUCCCCCCCUCAAAAAAAACAAAAAACAACAAACCCUCUGACCUUCUACAGUUUGCUGACUGAACUAAGCCAAAGCACUAUGGCAAAAUGGAAAAACUCAGCUUGCAAAUUUUUAAUCACAUGCCUUGCUAAGGGCUGCAGAUGGGUAUCAGAUCAGGAAUGGACUUUGUCAAGGAUUGAGGACAUAGGACUGAUCCUGACCUUAGUGAGAGAUUUGACAAAGUAAUGGUCACAGGAUCAGGCCCAAGCGCAAGAUUGUGGCUUCUCCUAUGAGACUGUGCAAAGAAGGCAUCAGCAACAGGGGAACUGAGGAAAGAGAAGAGGAGAUGAGAGAAGCCUUGAUGAAGCCUCUCCAAACAGCACUUUCAUGGGUGUGUUUCCUUUUAUAUGGAGACAGAAGAGAUAGCAAGAGGGGCCUACAGAUGAAGAGAAAAAAUGUUAACAGAACAAAAUUUCAA